ACAGUCACAUCACGCUGAAAUAUCGGUUCCCGUACGAUCAACGAAAUUAAACAACGUCGAACCCGAUCAGUCCCAAGAUGGGUAACCGCUUGGGAAUGCCAGGUGCUGGU